GUGCUCAGUUUGGAAGCAUAUAUACUGAAGUUGGGAUGAUACAGAGAAGACUGGCAUGGCCCCUGAGCAAGGAUGACAUGCAAAUUCAUAAAGCUUUUCAUGUUUUU